AAGCAGGAUGGAAGCUCGGAGCUUAAACCACUGCAGAAGGCAGCAGCCAGGCGUGACCAGGAGCCGCCCGAUGUCAUCUUCAGCCCGCCCGAUGUCAUCUGCAGCCCGGAAAGAUGCUAAAGAGAUGGUUUUUACCUGGAAGAAGUUGACAUGUCAAUCUGAUCCAGAUGCACAAGAAAAGGAAAGAGGACAUCGCUGAUCAGAAAUGCUGUUACCUAGGAUCAGAAUCUGCUGACAUAGUGAGGAGACGUCUGGGCGUCAAGUUCUGCAGAGAGAAGAUUUAGCUGGAACAAGUCCCGGUGAUAACCGUCAUGCAGAAUAUGUUAAAAAGCUUUAUUUAGAUUUCAGCCAAUCAGAGAGCAGCACUGCUCAAAUAGAACUCCCAGGAGGUAACAGCGUGUCACACAUGUGAUGUCAUAACCAUUGUCCACCAGAGAGCAGCACUGAGCAGAUAUAACACUGCUCCUGCUCAUUCUCCAUCAGUGAGGGGCCGGUGCUGGACACUGUAGGGACGCGGGAAUGUGAAGUCAAAAACAUGACUGUGACUGAUGCAUUAUUUCCAGCAUGUGGAGUAGCAUUUCCGGACUUAAAGCAAGAAGUUGGAUGAUGGCCUAGAUUUCCGGACUUAAAGCAAGAAGUUGGAUGAUGGCCUAGAUUUCCGGACCUACAGCAAGAAGUUGGAUGAAGGCACAGCCCCUCGAAUCACGAACAUACACAGACACAUUGGCCCAAAUUCUAGAGGUAACCUCCUUUAGUAUGCCCAGAGGAAGGGCAAUACAGUAGCCAUGGAUUCCCUACAGGUUUCCUCCCCUCUGGAGGUUUUUCCUGUCCUGAGUUAGUUACUGUACGCUCUUUGUGAGUGAUGGAAGGUUACAUAAAAUCCCUACACAAACAUUUUAAUAA